rnacentral:rRNA from 1 species
AGCUCCAAUAGCGUAUAUUAAAGUUGUUGCAGUUAAAAAGCUCGUAGUUGGAUUUCUGGUUUGAGCGUCCGGUCCGCUUCCUUUGGAAGUGUGUUACUAAGGAUGUUUGAGCCAUUUUUUGUGAGGAUGUUCUUCUGCCAUUAAGUUGGUGGUUGAAUAGACUUGCAUCGUUUACUGUGAAAAAAUUAGAGUGUUUAAAGCAGGCGUUUGCUCAUUGAAUACAUUAGCAUGGAAUAAUAAGAUACGACCUUGGUGGUCUAUUUUGUUGGUUUGCACACCAGGGUAAUGAUUAAUAGGGACAGUUGGGGGUAUUCAUAUUUCAGCGUCAGAGGUGAAAUUCUUGGAUCGCUGAAAGAUGAGCUUAGGCGAAAGCAUUUACCAAGGAUGUUUUCAUUA